rnacentral:rRNA from 1 species
CACGUAGGGCGCAAGCGUUGUCCGGAAUUAUUGGGCGUAAAGAGCUCGUAGGCGGUCUGUUGCGUCCGCUGUGAAAACCCGGGGCUUAACCCUGGGCUGGCAGUGGAUACGGACAGACUAGAGGUAGGUAGGGGGAGAAUGGAAUUCCCGGUGUAGCGGUGAAAUGCGCAGAUAUCGGGAGGAACACCGGUGGCGAAGGCGGUUCUCUGGGCCUUACCUGACGCUGAGGAGCGAAAGCGUGGGGAGCGAACAGG